UUAUUCAAUAUAAGGUGAAUAUUUAUUUAAUUUUUUUAACCUUUAUUUGGACCUCGAACAGCAUCUCGUCCAUAGGACUAAUUCAUAUUCUGCACCAGACCCAUCUCAGGAGCCUACAGACCCAUCUCACGAGACUACUCAGGCACCCGUCGAUACACAAGUUCAUCCUUCGGCGCCUGCGGUGGCAACUCCCGACGAGGAUGAGGUCGCGUUUCCUGACCCAGCUCAGCCUGAGAUUCUAAGCAUACCAGCAGGACUAGAUCCCAAGAAGAAGUACGUUAUGCAGAAGGGUGCAAGGGCGAGGGAUGAUCAUGGCUUAGAGCGCCCUCUUAUUAAGAGGAAAAAAGGGGAUGGAGACGAUGGCGGGGUGGUGGGGAUGGUAUGAGCCUUAGGCCUAAGGAUAGUCUCAGGCAUACCACAUGUGGAACCCAUCCACGAUAGUGUAUAUACAAUAGUGUUGUACAGUUUAAGUAAAUAUUAUAUAUUUUUUAAGUAUCUA